rnacentral:rRNA from 1 species
GGGCUCGAAAGCAACUUGCCUGCUCUGUAAGUGUGGUACCCUCUUACGUCUCAUUAGGUAUCAAGGCCUAUCGGGCUCGUAAAGCUCUGUCAGAGGGGAAGAACCUCCCAUCGGUUAAUAUCCGGUGGGCCUGACGGUACCCUCAAAGGAAGCACCGGCUAACUCCGUGCCAGCAGCCGCGGUAAUACGGAGGGUGCAAGCGUUGUUCGGAAUUAUUGGGCGUAAAGCGCGUGUAGGCGGCUGUUUAAGUCUGAUGUGAAAGCCCUGGGCUCAACCCGGGAAGUGCAUUGGAAACUGGAUAGCUUGAGUACGGGAGAGGGUAGUGGAAUUCCGAGUGUAGGGGUGAAAUCCGUAGAUAUUCGGAGGAACACCGGUGGCGAAGGCGGCUACCUGGACCGAUACUGACGCUGAGACGCGAAAGCGUGGGGAGCAAACAGGAUUAGAUACCCUGGUAGUCCACGCCGUAAACGAU